UUGACAAAUUUGUAACUAAGAUUGGCAUUCAUUCAGAUUGGGAUGCCCUCCAAUCCACACCUGAAAACUCGCGGAAGAUACAACUUUGCUUCAAUAAAAGGGUACUAAUUAAAUCUUUUGAUUAGAGCAUGAGGAAAGUAGUAUCUCGAUCGUCUCUAAAAUGCUCCACCAUAUCUUUGGGGCUAAGGUAUAGUAACAUAUCAAUAAUAUUGCUGCUACAUGUUGGCUCGUUCUUGUCUUAUCUUUUUUUGUGCGAAGAACGGAUAAGAACAACUCAACAACCGUUGUCUUUCAUGGGGUAAACAAGCAU